rnacentral:rRNA from 1 species
GACGAAGGAUGCAAGCGUUAUCCGGAUUCAUUGGGCUUAAAGGGAGCGUAGGUGGCCAAAUAAGUCAGUGGUGAAAUCUCUCAGCUUAACUGAGAAAUUGCCAUUGAUACUGUAUGGCUUGAGUAUAGUUGCCGUUGGCGGAAUAUGACAUGUAGUGGUGAAAUGCAUAGAGAUGUCAUAGAACACCGAUUGCGAAGGCAGCUGACGAAACUAUAACUGACACUGAGGCUCGAAAGUGCGGGGAUCAAACAGG